rnacentral:lncRNA from 1 species
GUGACCUUUGCCAUGUGACUCAGAUGAUCCCCAUCUGUGUCAGCUGCCCUGUGUUUUUAAUUUCUCUAGAAUGGUUAAAUGACAGCUUCUUUGGCCAUCCCAAUAGAAGUACCUGACAAUCCCAACUCUCCUUCCUACUGAACAGACAGUCUCCUUGUGUAGCCCAGGGUCACCUGAACUCAAGGUCCUCUUGCUUCAGGCUACAGAGAGCAGGUAUGGCUCACCAAUACCGGCAUGAUCCAGGCUUGAGUUGGUUUUUACACAGUCUAGACUGAUGCUCCGAACCAUAGUGGAAGAUAAAGGUUUCCUCUCCUGAUCUACAGAAAGUGGCCUAUCACCAGCCUGCUUUUCCUGAUCUACAGAAAGUGGCCUAUCACCAGCCUGCUUUUGCCCGUGAAUUUUACAAAGUAACCAGGAGUGGGGAGGGUCUGAGUCAUCCAGCUCUAGAUCCGGCCCUUCCCCAGCUCUACCUAGCUGAAGACCUGACACCAAGACAUCUCUCCAAUCUCCUGAAAGAUUCAUUUUGAUGAAUUUUCUUUCAAAGAUUUAUUCAGGAACCAAAUGGAAGCAUCAAAUUCAUGGAAAACGCUGUUAAAUAAGAAAAGCAGAGUGAGUUUAACUAAUUUUGGAUAUUCCUUAAAAAUUCUAAGAUAUACAUAAAGUCUAGAAAUAGCCCCAAGACAUAUAAAUAUUACUAUCCCCCCCAUAUUUAAAAAAAACUCACAGUAAGUUAAAAAUGUUGCUCAAAGACACAUGCAUGAAAGUUUGUUUAUCUGGGGUCACAAACUUUUUUCCUUUUCUUCCUCCUCCUCCUCCUCCUUCUUCAUCAUCAUGAUGGGGGUGGG